GCUGGCGGCGUGCCUAUACAUGCAGUCGAGCGGAUGGAUUAAGAGCUUGCUCUUAUGAAGUUAGCGACGGACGGGUGAGUAACACGUGGGUAACCUGCCCAUAAGACUGGGAUAACUCCGGGAAACCGGGGCUAAUACCGGAUAACAUUUUGAACCGCAUGGUUCGAAAUUGAAAGGCGGCUUCGGCUGUCACUUAUGGAUGGACCCGCGUCGCAUUAGCUAGUUGGUGAGGUAACGGCUCACCAAGGCAACGAUGCGUAGCCGACCUGAGAGGGUGAUCGGCCACACUGGGACUGAGACACGGCCCAGACUCCUACGGGAGGCAGCAGUAGGGAAUCUUCCGCAAUGGACGAAAGUCUGACGGAGCAACGCCGCGUGAGUGAUGAAGGCUUUCGGGUCGUAAAACUCUGUUGUUAGGGAAGAACAAGUGCUAGUUGAAUAAGCUGGCACCUUGACGGUACCUAACCAGAAAGCCACGGCUAACUACGUGCCAGCAGCCGCGGUAAUACGUAGGUGGCAAGCGUUAUCCGGAAUUAUUGGGCGUAAAGCGCGCGCAGGUGGUUUCUUAAGUCUGAUGUGAAAGCCCACGGCUCAACCGUGGAGGGUCAUUGGAAACUGGGAGACUUGAGUGCAGAAGAGGAAAGUGGAAUUCCAUGUGUAGCGGUGAAAUGCGUAGAGAUAUGGAGGAACACCAGUGGCGA
rnacentral:rRNA from 1 species